UGAGAAUUUUUGGAACUAUCUCAUUUGUUUGUUUUUUCGGCACUGUGAUUUUUGCAGCUCGUUCCAUAGGCCCACCACUCUGUGUGCAAAACUAUGGCAACUAUUCUACGGCAAUCUUGAAAAGUUG